CAAUUUCGACGAAAAAAAGUAAAUAUAGCAUAAAAUUUAGUUGAAAGACUAAAAUAAAGCAAUCUGGUGGCAAUUUAUUGAAUCGAGAAGACGGUAGUGAGUAGGGCGUUCAAAUAAAAAUUGCAUUCUGUGGCCGCCGUUGCGCUGGCAAAUGGAACGAGUAAGAUUUCCAAAUGAAAUUGAAGCCACAGCAAAUAGUCCAUAGCUCCAAGGCUUCGAAACAAAUAUAGAACCUAUACGAUGCCAGAAAGACUACAGAGAAUCGAAGAGCGCUAACCAGGAAACAGCGUAAAAGGGCCAAUUCGUUGAGCAAGGGCGUGCUCAUAGCAUGGAAAUACAAUGCAAACGGUGCCAACAUAAAAUUAAACUGCCAAGGCAUAAGCAAGAAUUUUACCUGAAACUGUGACGCCUGCCCACAGCAUCAAAUAAGGAUAUCGUUCCAAUGAAACCCAAUAUUAACGACGUAUUUUGACGACGAUGAACUCUUUGCGAACGCUCCGGGUUUUCAUUACCGGGCUUGUAAAUUGAUGGCACGGAGCCUCGUUUCAACAAUCUUCUUUUUGCAUAACCUUAGAAAUGUUUUAAACACUUUCAUUAAUAUAAACACAAUAAACGAAAUAAAUAAACAUCCUA
rnacentral:lncRNA from 1 species